ensembl:lncRNA
GAUUAGUAUAUCUCAAGUAUCAAUUUACAUUGUGGUCAUCAUCUAAAGUACAAAGAGGUUAGUUCAUAUUGGUUGUUUUAUAGUUUUAUUGUACACUUAGUAUGACGAGAGAUUAACAUGUUGCUGCACUGAGUGGAGUGCACACAAAUAAGGGGCGGUGCAUUCUGGGUAAUGUAAUUCAUUACCUACUGGACAUUACUUGGGAGAAGAAAAGGGUAAAACUUGUGAAGUGUGAUUUUUUUAUUUUUAUUUAUUUUGGUUGUUGCCUGGAUGUUAGAGGGAUGGGACAAUGUACUAACAGGUAUGUAUUACUGUAUUUAUAUUGUUUUAUUAUUGUUAUACUAAAUAACAAUUUUCUUGUUAGUUCUAUAUAAAAUAUGUAUUUGGUGUUGUUAUGCAUUUUAUUGAAUGGAACAAUUAAAGAAAAAAAAAAAAAAAAAAAAUAAUAAAAAAAAAAAAUCUCCGAGCAGAGAAUUGGACAACUGGACAGACAUUUCACACUGAACUGUUAGAGUAUUCUGUUGCAAUUUAUUUUUUCAAACAUUUCUACAUUCUUUUUUUUUUCCACUCAACUUACAUUUCACUACAUUUUUACACUGACUACACAUACAUUGACAAUCAAACAUGGCUACCACUCCUCUCUCUCCAUCCACUUUUGUGGAGAUGGAACCACCGGCACCAGAUGUUGCUACCCCAGUCUGGCCUCCAGCACCCCGUCCGCUACUUUCUCCACCUGGACUCUUCCGUGUUCCUCUCCAUGUCACUCCUACUCAACCCAGCACCACUGACGUACCAGGAACCCAGGUGCGGUUUGCAACUUCACCACUAGCUGGCAGUACUCCUGUUCAACCCUUCAUCUGGGAGCAGGAACCGAAUGGCGACUGUACUAGUGAUGUUGUCCAUCAUUUGUUAACCUCACGUCAAGUCUCCAAACUCUGUCCUCGGCCCGGGAUUAGCAGCCGCUACACAAAAUUCACGCAGCCACCACACACACAUACACUCUCAUUGCACACGCACACGCAUACACCCAUACACAAACACUCGUUUGGAUUAUUUAUUUUUCUUUGUUUUUUUUUCUUCUCUUUUCCCUUUCAUUUUCUUUUUCCCCUUUUUGAUGAAAAUUGAACAUGGAAAAACUGAGUUUGGAAAAAGAAACGAACUUUAAGACACAAGGACUCUCAAGGACUCUCGUGAUUUUGUGCUUUUUUAUGAAAUCUUGAAUUGAAC